AAACUCAGAUGAAGAUGUUCAUGUUUCUGGGAAUUUUUUUUCUCUUCCUGGUAGUUGACAUAAAUGGGGAUGUGUGUUCAUACUGUACCUGUCACAUUUAUCACAUUCCUCACAAUAAUCUCAUAUAUCAAACUAUCAAUCAGCAAAUCACAUAUCUGUCUUAAUCUUGCAAAGCUCUUUAAAUGUGUACAGAUUGUAAUAUUCUAAUUAGAAACCCAGUGUGUGUGUGCGUGCAUGUGUGUGUGCGUGUGCGUAUGUGUGUGUGUGUGUGUGUGUGUGUGCUGGGGGCAUCAGAAUGGUCUGAAUUUGGGCGGCAGCUACUUUAUCAUAUAGUCAGCUCCACCCAGAACUCUCUCUAUCACACACACACACUUUCUGUCAUUCACUUGACUGUCAGUCACCUGAGCUGUCAAACAGCAUAAAUGAUAAACUGAGAACAAGAUGAGACAAGACAUCAUGCUCAGCAGACUGAUACUGCUGUCUGCCCUCUGUAUGGCAACAUCUGCAUCUCUGGGUAAUGCACAGUGCAAUGCAACACACUCAGAUGAAACAGGAUCAUGCAGUCUCACUACUGAUAGAACCAGCAAUCAAACUUUGAACAGCUGUGAUCUGAAUAAUCUGAAAAACUUCAGCUCUCUGAUUUUAAAUGCAGUGGAUGACACUGUACACCAUCUACAAUGUAUAUCAAACAGCCCAGCAAGUUUUCCUCAAGAAAAACUUCACAUGCUCCAAACUGAGCUUGGAAAGAUCAUUGCAUCAACACUAAAUGUUAUGGUUCACCUUGGAGUUUCUUCAAACGAGGACAUUGCUGACAGUUUUGGUGCUUUACACACACUGACUGCAGAAAAUGUGCAAAACAUGGAGUUUGUUCAGUCAUGGAUCUGUGUCAGGCUUAUUCCACUCCUCCCGUUUAUUACCACAGAGUUUAUAUCCAACAUGAGCAAGAUAAACUUUUCAUGUGUCAGCUACCAGACAAUAGUCAAAACACUCAGUCAGCAGGUGAAUCUGAUCAAUGGAACAUCUAAGACCUCCAUCUACACCCAAUUCAUUCAGCCAUUCUUGUCUAGACAACUUUCAGAUCCUGCAUGUCUUUCUAACAUUAUGAGCAGUGCUGAAUGGCUUGUGAAAAAUUUUGGUGAAUUUUCAUUCUACGCUACCUUAAAGGAUCUACAAACUCUGAAUGUAAAUUUUUCCAGUGUAAGUAAACUUUGAAAUUAACCAUGUUAAAUGUUGUUAUUGUAUUUAUAUAAAUUUUUAGGCUCCCAAAAGUCAUGUGUUAUUUACUUUGUGUCUGGGUUUUGUUCACCUUAGCUGGCAGCU
ensembl:lncRNA